AUGACUGUUUACCUUCGGGGUGCUCAAAUGCUGCGCCGUCAGAUCCCGACGAGGACAGACUGUUUUUUCUGUGGGCGUUCGGAGAGUAUUGAGCAUGCUCUUCUCUUCUGUGUCCACGCUCGGGCUGUUUGGGAUGAGAUCAAGGCUACUUAUGGGAUCAGACUGUUCCGUUCAUCUUUCAGCUCUCACAAACAGUGGUUGUUCGACUUGCUCGCGCGAGACUCCCAUUGUGACAUCUCCACCAUCACGGUGGCGUUGUGGCAUAUAUGGGAGGCAAGGAACUAUGCCCGCAAUGAGCCGACUGCUCCUGAUCCGAAACGCACAGCAGCUAAGGCGCAGGCUUACUCGGAGAUGAUUUUCCAGCACCUUUUCAAACCUGGGCGUGCGGCUCCGAGAGCGACACCGGCUUCUUCUUCUUCUGAGUGGUCUCCUCCCCCGCAUGGUACUCUUCUUUUUUCUUCUGAUGCGGCUGUGGACUUGGAGCGGGGCUCGUCGUCAGUUGGAGUUGUGGUGCAGGACCACUCUGGCCAGUGUGUGGCCGCGUCAUCUGAACCCCUUCCUGGUGUCUCUUCCCCGGAGUUGGCUGAAGCGCUGGCCCUGCGACGGGCCGCUCCGCUGGCCCGCCGGAAGGGUUUCUCGCAUGUGAUCUUCCACUCUGACUAUCUUUCGGUGAUCCGAAGGCUGCAAUCAUCAGUCCGAGACCGUUCCAUGGUGGGAUCAGUUAUCUCUAAUAUCAAGGCGAUUUGUGGAGCUCUGUCGUUUGUGUCCUUCAUGCAUGUUCGUCGGCACCGUGUUGUCUUACCUCAUGUUCUUGUUAGGUCUAGUUUGAGCUCUUUGAGCCUUUGUUUUUAUCACUUUGUUCCGAAUUGCAUCCGGGAGACUCUCUGUAAUACGUUUGCUUGA
rnacentral:rRNA from 1 species